rnacentral:rRNA from 1 species
CCCUUAGAUGUUCUGGGCCGCACGCGCGCUACACUGAUGCAUUCAACGAGCCUAUCCUUGACCGACAGGUCCGGGUAAUCUUUGAAUCUGCAUCGUGACGGGGAUAGAUUAUUGCAAUUAUUAAUCUUCAACGAGGAAUGCCUAGUAGGCGCAAGUCAUCAGCUUGCGUCGAUUACGUCCCUGCCCUUUGUACACACCGCCCGUCGCUCCCACCGAUUGGGUGUGCUGGUGAAAUGUUCGGAUCGGCCGUUUGUCGCGGUUUCCGCGGCUCGUGGCUGAGAAGUUCAUUAAACCCUCCCACCUAGAGGAAGGAGAAGUCGUAACA